rnacentral:rRNA from 1 species
AUUGAACGCUGGCGGCAGGCCUAACACAUGCAAGUCGGACGGUAGCACAGAGGAGCUUGCUCCUCGGGUGACGAGUGGCGGACGGGUGAGUAAUGUCUGGGGAUCUGCCCGAUAGAGGGGGAUAACCACUGGAAACGGUGGCUAAUACCGCAUAACGUCGCAAGACCAAAGAGGGGGACCUUCGGGCCUCUCACUAUCGGAUGAACCCAGAUGGGAUUAGCUAGUAGGCGGGGUAACGGCCCACCUAGGCGACGAUCCCUAGCUGGUCUGAGAGGAUGACCAGCCACACUGGAACUGAGACACGGUCCAGACUCCUACGGGAGGCAGCAGUGGGGAAUAUUGCACAAUGGGCGCAAGCCUGAUGCAGCCAUGCCGCGUGUAUGAAGAAGGCCUUCGGGUUGUAAAGUACUUUCAGCGGGGAGGAAGGCGAUAAGGUUAAUAACCUUGUCGAUUGACGUUACCCGCAGAAGAAGCACCGGCUAACUCCGUGCCAGCAGCCGCAGUAA